AGAAUCAACGCUGGCGGCGUGCCUAACACAUGCAAGUCGAACGAGAAAGGGACUUCGGUCCUGAGUAUAGUGGCGCACGGGUGAGUAACACGUGAAUAAUCUACCUCCGAGUGGGGAAUAACCAAGAGAAAUCUUGGCUAAUACCGCAUAACACUUACGAGUCAAAGCAGCAAUGCGCUUGGAGAGGAGUUCGCGGCAGAUUAGUUAGUUGGCGGGGUAAUGGCCCACCAAGACGAUGAUCUGUAUCCGGCCUGAGAGGGCGCACGGACACACUGGAACUGAAACACGGUCCAGACUCCUACGGGAGGCAGCAGUGGGGAAUUUUGCGCAAUGGGGGAAACCCUGACGCAGCAACGCCGCGUGGAGGAUGAAGUAUCUCGGUACGUAAACUCCUUUCGAUGGGGAAGAUAAUGACGGUACCCAUAGAAGAAGCCCGGCUAACUUCGCGCCAGCAGCCGC
rnacentral:rRNA from 1 species